rnacentral:rRNA from 1 species
UAGGGAAUCUUCCACAAUGGACGCAAGUCUGAUGGAGCAACGCCGCGUGAGUGAAGAAGGUUUUCGGACCGUAAAGCUCUGUUGUUGGUGAAGAAGGAUAGAGGUAGUAACUGGCCUUUAUUUGACGGUAAUCAACCAGAAAGUCACGGCUAACUACGUGCCAGCAGCCGCGGUAAUACGUAGGUGGCAAGCGUUGUCCGGAUUUAUUGGGCGUAAAGCGAGCGCAGGCGGAAGAAUAAGUCUGAUGUGAAAGCCCUCGGCUUAACCGAGGAAUUGCAUCGGAAACUGUUUUCUUGAGUGCAGAAGAGGAGAGUAGAACUCCAUGUGUAGCGGUGGAAUGCGUAGAUAUAUGGAAGAAUACCAGUGGCGAAGGCGGCUCUCUGGUCUGCAAACUGACGCUGAGGCUCGAAAAGCAUGGGUAGCGAACAGGAUUAGAUACCCUGGUAGUCCAUGCCGUAAACGAUGAGUGCUAAGUGUUGGGAGGCUUCCGCCUCUCAGUGCUGCAGCUAACGCAUUAAGCACUCCGCCUGGGGGAGUACGACCGC